rnacentral:rRNA from 1 species
CUGCCAGUAGUCAUAUGCUUGUCUCAAAGAUUAAGCCAUGCAUGUCUAAGUCCAAGCUGUGUUCACACGGCGAGACCGCGGACGGCUCAUUAAAUCAGUCGUGGUCCAAAUGGGCCAGUGCAAAUCCUACUUGGAUAACUGUGGUAAUUCCAGAGCUAAUACAUGCAACUGAUAUCCCGAAGGCGGUGUUUGGGCUUGCUUGCCUUGCGCUGCGCUGCUCUGACGGAUGCUUUUAUUAGACCAAGCCGCUGAGGACUUGAGGGUUCGCGCUCUCUUGUCUGACUCGUGUGAUGGUGACUCUGGAUAACCAAAUUCUGACAAGCGCACGUACUUCUCUUCUGAGCGAGACGGCGCUGCCACUUUCGAGUGUCUGCCUUAUCAGCUAUCAACCGUUCGUUAUGCGCGACCGAUGGCUUUGACGGGUAACGGGGAAUCAGGGUUCGAUUCCGGAGAGGCAGCCUGAGAGACGGCUACCACGUCCAAGGACGGCAGCAGGCACGCAAAUUACCCAAUCCCAGCAAAUGGGGGAGGUAGUGACGAAAUCUAACGAUGCGGGCGCCCUUUCUGGGGCCCCGCAAUCGGAAUGGGCACUUUCUAAACAACCUGUUGAGAACCU